rnacentral:rRNA from 1 species
GACGAACGCUGGCGGCGUGCUUAACACAUGCAAGUCGAACGGAAAGGCCCUGCUUUUGUGGGGUGCUCGAGUGGCGAACGGGUGAGUAACACGUGAGUAACCUGCCCUUGACUUUGGGAUAACUUCAGGAAACUGGGGCUAAUACCGGAUAGGAGCUCCUGCUGCACGGUGGGGGUUGGAAAGUUUCGGCGGUUGGGGAUGGACUCGCGGCUUAUCAGCUUGUUGGUGGGGUAGUGGCUUACCAAGGCUUUGACGGGUAGCCGGCCUGAGAGGGUGACCGGCCACAUUGGGACUGAGAUACGGCCCAGACUCCUACGGGAGGCAGCAGUGGGGAAUAUUGCACAAUGGGCGGAAGCCUGAUGCAGCAACGCCGCGUGCGGGAUGACGGCCUUCGGGUUGUAAACCGCUUUCGCCUGUGACGAAGCGUGAGUGACGGUAAUGGGUAAAGAAGCACCGGCUAACUACGUGCCAGCAGCCGCGGUGAUACGUAGGGUGCGAGCGUUGUCCGGAUUUAUUGGGCGUAAAGGGCUCGUAGGUGGUUGAUCGCGUCGGAAGUGUAAUCUUGGGGCUUAACCCUGAGCGUGCUUUCGAUACGGGUUGACUUGAGGAAGGUAGGGGAGAAUGGAGUUCCUGGUGGAGCGGUGGAAUGCGCAGAUAUCAGGAGGAACACCAGUGGCGAAGGCGGUUCUCUGGGCCUUUCCUGACGCUGAGGAGCGAAAGCGUGGGGAGCGAACAGGCUUAGAUACCCUGGUAGUCCACGCUGUAAACGGUGGGUACUAGGUGUGGGGUCCAUUCCACGGGUUCCGUGCCGUAGCUAACGCUUUAAGUACCCCGCCUGGGGAGUACGGCCGCAAGGCUAAAACUCAAAGGAAUUGACGGGGCCCCGCACAAGCGGCGGAGCAUGCGGAUUAAUUCGAUGCAACGCGUAGAACCUUACCUGGGUUUGACAUGGAUCGGGAGUGCUCAGAGAUGGGUGUGCCUCUUUUGGGGUCGGUUCACAGGUGGUGCAUGGCUGUCGUCAGCUCGUGUCGUGAGAUGUUGGGUUAAGUCCCGCAACGAGCGCAACCCUUGUUCACUGUUGCCAGCACGUUAUGGUGGGGACUCAGUGGAGACCGCCGGGGUCAACUCGGAGGAAGGUGGGGAUGACGUCAAGUCAUCAUGCCCCUUAUGUCCAGGGCUUCACGCAUGCUACAAUGGCUGGUACAGAGGGUGGCGAGCCUGUGAGGGUGAGCGAAUCUCGGAAAGCCGGUCUCAGUUCGGAUUGGGGUCUGCAACUCGACCUCAUGAAGUCGGAGUCGCUAGUAAUCGCAGAUCAGCAACGCUGCGGUGAAUACGUUCCCGGG